rnacentral:rRNA from 1 species
AACAAACGCUGGCGGCGUGCCUAAUACAUGCAAGUCGAACGGGGAAAGCUUUCGGGUGAGUACUAGUGGCGCACGGGUGAGGAACGCGUGGCUAAUCUGCCUUAGAGUGGGGGAUAACUAGUCGAAAGAUUAGCUAAUACCGCAUAAGACCACGAGAGCUGCGGCUUUUGAGGUCAAAGGUUUUUCGCUCUAAGAUGAGUCCGCGUAAGAUUAGCUAGUUGGUGAGGUAACGGCUCACCAAGGCGACGAUCUUUAACUGGUCUGAGAGGAUGAUCAGUCACACGGGAACUGAGACACGGUGAAGACUACGACGGGAAGCAGCAGUAGGGAAUAUUGCACAAUGGAGGAAACGCUGAUGCAGCGACGCCGCGUGAGUGAUGAAGGCCUGGGGGUCGUAAAGCUCUGUCGCAGAGGAAUAACACAAGGAAGGUACCCUGUAAGAAAGGAUCGGCUAACUUGGU